rnacentral:rRNA from 1 species
UUUACUCCUACGGGAGGCAGCAGUAGGGAAUAUUCCACAAUGAGCGAAAGCUUGAUGGAGCGACACAGCGUGCACGAUGAAGGUCUUCGGAUUUGCAAGUGCUGUUAUAAGGGAAGAACAUUUGCAAUAGGAAAUGAUUGCAGACUGACGGUACCUUGUCAGAAAGCGAUGGCUAACUAUGUGCCAGCAGCCGCGGUAAUACAUAGGUCGCAAGCGUUAUCCGGAAUUAUUGGGCGUAAAGCGUUCGUAGGCUGUUUGUUAAGUCUGGAGUUAAAUCCCGGGGCUCAACCCCGGCUCGCUUUGGAUACUAGCAAACUAGAGUUAGAUAGAGGUAAGCGGAAUUCCAUGUGAAGCGGUGAAAUGCGUAGAUAUAUGGAAGAACACCAAAGGCGAAGGCAGCUUACUGGGUCUAUACUGACGCUGAGGGACGAAAGCGUGGGGAGCAAACAGGAUUAGAUACCCUGGUAGUCCACGCCGUAAACGAUGAUCAUUAGUCGGUGGAGAAUCACUGACGCAGCUAACGCAUUAAAUGAUCCGCCUGAGUAGUAUGCUCGCAAGAGUGAAACUUAAAGGAAUUGACGGGGACCCGCACAAGCGGUGGAGCAUGUGGUUUWAYUYGAAGAUACACGGAAAACCUUACCCACUCUUGACAUCCUUCGCAAAGCUAUAGAGAUAUAGUGGAGGUUAAC